rnacentral:rRNA from 1 species
AUUGGACGCUGGCGGCAUGCCUUACACAUGCAAGUCGAACGGCAGCACGGGUGCUUGCACCUGGUGGCGAGUGGCGAACGGGUGAGUAAUACAUCGGAACGUACCUUAUCGUGGGGGAUAACGCAGCGAAAGCUGUGCUAAUACCGCAUACGCCCUGAGGGGGAAAGCGGGGGAUCGAAAGACCUCGCGCGAUUAGAGCGGCCGAUGCCUGAUUAGCUUGUUGGUGGGGUAAAAGCCCACCAAGGCGACGAUCAGUAGCUGGUCUGAGAGGACGAUCAGCCACACUGGGACUGAGACACGGCCCAGACUCCUAAGGGAGGCAGCAGUGGGGAAUUUUGGACAAUGGGGGCAACCCUGAUCCAGCAAUGCCGCGUGAGUGAAGAAGGCCUUCGGGUUGUAAAGCUCUUUUGUCAGGGAAGAAACACCGGCUCUAACACAGUCCGGGAAUGACGGUACCUGAAGAAUAAGCACCGGCUAACUACGUGCCAGCCGCCGCUGUAA